rnacentral:rRNA from 1 species
GACGAACGCUGGCGGCGUGCUUAACACAUGCAAGUCGAACGAUGAAGCCGGAGCUUGCUCUGGUGAAUUAGUGGCGAACGGGUGAGUAACACGUGAGUAACCUGCCCUUGACUCUGGGAUAACUGCUAGAAAUGGUAGCUAAUACCGGAUACGACCCUCGGAGGCAUCUUCAGGGGGUGGAAAGAAUUUCGGUCAAGGAUGGACUCGCGGCCUAUCAGCUAGUUGGUGAGGUAAUGGCUCACCAAGGCGACGACGGGUAGCCGGCCUGAGAGGGUGACCGGCGACACUGGGACUGAGACACGGCCCAGACUCCUACGGGAGGCAGCAGUGGGGAAUAUUGCACAAUGGGCGCAAGCCUGAUGCAGCAACGCCGCGUGAGGGAUGACGGCCUUCGGGUUGUAAAUCUCUUUUAGUAGGGAAGAAGCGAAAGUGACGGUACCUGCAGAAAAAGCACCGGCUAACUACGUGCCAGCAGCCGCAGUAA